rnacentral:rRNA from 1 species
UACGGAGGGGGCUAGCGUUGUUCGGAAUUACUGGGCGUAAAGCGCGUGUAGGCGGAGCGUUAAGUCGGAUGUGAAAUCCCCGGGCUCAACCCGGGAACUGCUUUCGAAACUGCCGUUCUCGAGUACCGGAGAGGGUGGCGGAAUUCCUGGUGUAGAGGUGAAAUUCGUAGAUAUCUGGAGGAACACCGGUGGCGAAGGCGGCAUCCUGGACCGGCAUUGACGCUGAGGCGCGAAAGCCAGGGGAGCAAACGGG